rnacentral:rRNA from 1 species
UUGUUUGGAGAGUUUGAUCCUGGCUCAGGACGAACGCUGGCGGCGUGCUUAACACAUGCAAGUCGAACGGUGAAGCACUUUCCUUUUGGUGG